rnacentral:misc_RNA from 1 species
AACGCAUAUUGCACUCUCUGGUAUUCCGGAGAGAAUGCCUGUUUGAGGGUAAUUAAAAAGAAAUCUUUAAUCUCUUUUGAGGUUAAAGGAUAUGGGUAUUCCGUGUCAUUAGCGGUAACCUGAAAUAGAUAGUAGUCUUCAUCUAGUCGAGACGCGUAAUAAUAUUAUUUCGUGAAACGGUUAAUGAGCUACUUAGUUUUAAUGACUCUAAUUCAUUAGAUUUGUUAAAACAAAUAAUAAUUUUGACAUUACCUCAAAUCAGGUAGGACUACCCGCUGAACUUAA